UGCAAUGGGGUCAGCUGUCCAACUUUGACUGGUUACAUGAUGAAUAAAACAAAAAAUCACCAUCUUUCGGCUGACAGUUGUG
rnacentral:snoRNA from 1 species